GACGAACGCUGGCGGCGUGCUUAACACAUGCAAGUCGAGCGGUAAGGCCCUUUCGGGGGUACACGAGCGGCGAACGGGUGAGUAACACGUGGGUGACCUGCCCUUAGCUCUGGGAUAAGCCUGGGAAACUGGGUCUAAUACCGGAUAUGACUCCAUGACGCAUGUUGUGGGGUGGAAAGCCUUGUGCGGCUAGGGAUGGGCCCGCGGCCUAUCAGCUUGUUGGUGGGGUGAUGGCCUACCAAGGCGACGACGGGUAGCCGGCCUGAGAGGGCGACCGGCCACACUGGGACUGAGACACGGCCCAGACUCCUACGGGAGGCAGCAGUGGGGAAUCUUGCGCAAUGGGCGAAAGCCUGACGCA
rnacentral:rRNA from 1 species